CCACUCCUCCCAGAGGCAGGGUCCGAAGCCCAGCUCAACGGAGUGCAAUGUCCCUACUGUUCUGGGGACAAGUCAGCCUCCUGUGACUCCCUUUCGGUCAUGACUGCACAGGGGACCAGACUAUGUGUCUCACCCUCAACGGGACGUGGAACGGAGGGGGUCCCCAAAUCCUGAAGGGCUGUGCUACCCCAAAUGUCUGCCACCUGCAAGUGAACACCACCCUGGGCCCAGAAGCGUCUGGAUUUCGUCUCGUCAGCCAGCCUGAAUGCAAUUAUGUGGUUACACCCACCCUGC
rnacentral:lncRNA from 1 species